AAGCGCGCGUAGGUUGGUUUGUUAAGUUGGAUGUAGAAUCCCCGGGCUCAACCUGGGAACUGCAUCCAAAACUGGCAAGCUAGAGUAUGGUAGAGGGUGGUGGAAUUUCCUGUGUAGCGGUGAAAUGCGUAGAUAUAGGAAGGAACACCAGUGGCGAAGGCGACCACCUGGACUGAUACUGACACUGAGGUGCGAAAGCGUGGGGAGCAAACAGGAUUAGAUACCCCUGU
rnacentral:rRNA from 1 species